rnacentral:tRNA from 1 species
CAGACUAUAGUUUAUUAACCUGAAAACGUGAAUUUUGGAUAUUCAAAAACAAAGUCUGA